rnacentral:rRNA from 1 species
GCCCAGACUCCUACGGGAGGCAGCAGUGGGGAAUAUUGCACAAUGGGCGAAAGCCUGAUGCAGCGACGCCGCGUGAGUGAAGAAGUAUUUCGGUAUGUAAAGCUCUGUCAGCAGGGAAGAAAGCAAUGACGGUACCUGACCAAGAAGCCCCGGCUAACUACGUGCCAGCAGCCGCGGUAAUACGUAGGGGGCAAGCGUUAUCCGGAAUUACUGGGUGUAAAGGGAGCGUAGACGGCUGUGCAAGUCUGGAGUGAAAGGCGGGGGCCCAACCCCCGGACUGCUCUGGAAACUGUAUGGCUGGAGUGCAGGAGAGGUAAGCGGAGUUCCUAGUGUAGCGGUGAAAUGCGUAGAUAUUAGGAGGAACACCAGUGGCGAAGGCGGCUUACUGGACUGUAACUGACGUUGAGGCUCGAAAGCGUGGGGAGCAAACAGGAUUAGAUACCCGUGUACC